rnacentral:lncRNA from 1 species
UCAGCAAAAAUUUUAAGAAAAACUUUAAAUAUUAUCACUGUAAUUUCACAUUUUUUUACUUUAGUAUUCCAUAGUUUAAAAUAUAUUAUUUUUAUAUCAAACAAUUUUAUUUUUUUACUGAUAAAGUUAAAACUAUAAUUAAAGUACUAAGGUGAAAAUUUGAUAAGCCAUAUAAUACUAAAAUGAAUAUUUGAUAAAACAUAAGUAGAGUACCUGAGACGGUGAUAUUAUUUUACGU